GUGCUCAACUCCAACCCAUAUGCACUAAAACUGGAAUGAGAUUAGCAUGGCCCCUUUGCAAGGAUGACAUGAAAACUGGUGACGUAGUCCAUAUUUUU
ensembl:snRNA U6 U6 spliceosomal RNA